rnacentral:rRNA from 1 species
GACGAACGCUGGCGGCGUGCUUAACACAUGCAAGUCGAACGGAAAGGCCCUGCUUUUGUGGGGUGCUCGAGUGGCGAACGGGUGAUUAACACGUGAGUAACCUGCCCUUGACUAUGGGAUAACUUCAGGAAACUUGGGCUAAUACCGGAUAGGAGCUCCUGCUGCAUGGUGGGGGUUGGAAAGUUUCGGCGGUUGGGGAUGGACUGGCGGCUUAUCAGCUUGUUGGUGGGGUAGUGGCUUACCAAGGCUUUGACGGGUAGCCGGCCUGAGAGGGUGACCGGCCACAUUGGGACUGAGAUACGGCCCAGACGCCUACGGGAGGCAGCAGUGGGGAAUAUUGCACAAUGGGCGGAAGCCUGAUGCAGCAACGCCGCGUGCGGGAUGACGGCCUUCGGGUUGUAAACCGCUUUCGCCUGUGACGAAGCGUGAGUGACGGUAAUGGGUAAAGAAGCACCGGCUAACUACGUG